AGUGAACGCUGGCGGCAGGCCUAACACAUGCAAGUCGAACGGCAGCACAGUGGAGCUUGCUCCAUGGGUGGCGAGUGGCGGACGGGUGAGGAAUACAUCGGAAUCUGCCCAGUCGUGGGGGAUAACAUAGGGAAACUUAUGCUAAUACCGCAUACGACCUACGGGUGAAAGCGGGGGAUCGCAAGACCUCGCGCGAUUGGAUGAGCCGAUGUCCGAUUAGCUAGUUGGCGGGGUAAUGGCCCACCAAGGCGACGAUCGGUAGCUGGUCUGAGAGGAUGAUCAGCCACACUGGAACGGAGACACGGUCCAGACUCCUACGGGAGGCAGCAGUGGGGAAUAUUGGACAAUGGGCGCAAGCCUGAUCCAGCCAUGCCGCGUGGGUGAAGAAGGCCUUCGGGUUGUAAAGCCCUUUUGUCCGGAAAGAAACGCCUCGGAUUAAUACUCUGGGGUAAUGACGGUACCGGAAGAAUAAGCACCGGCUAACUUCGUGCCAGCAGCCGCGGUAAAAC
rnacentral:rRNA from 1 species